ACUCCGUGAUGAAGGCAUUUCUGUAAUAAUUAUUUGUACCUUUCCCAUGCUUCAUACAAUGACACAUCAUCCAUUGUUGGAAAGUAGUAAUUUCGUUCCUCAACUU
rnacentral:snoRNA from 1 species